UGGGGAAUUUUGGACAAUGGGCGAAAGCCUGAUCCAGCAAUGCCGCGUGUGUGAAGAAGGCCUUCGGGUUGUAAAGCACUUUUGUCCGGAAAGAAAUCCUUGGCUCUAAUACAGUCGGGGGAUGACGGUACCGGAAGAAUAAGCACCGGCUAACUACGUGCCAGCAGCCGCGGUAAUACGUAGGGUGCAAGCGUUAAUCGGAAUUACUGGGCGUAAAGCGUGCGCAGGCGGUUUGCUAAGACCGAUGUGAAAUCCCCGGGCUCAACCUGGGAACUGCAUUGGUGACUGGGCAGGCUAGAGUAUGGCAGGAGGGGGGUAGAAUUCCACGUGUAGCAGUGAAAUGCGUAGAGAUGUGGAGGAAUACCGAUGGCGAAGGCAGCCCCCUGGGGCCAAUACUGACGCUCAUGCACGAAAAGCGUGGGGGAGCAAAACAGGAUUAGAUACCCCUGGUAGUCCAGCGCCCUAAAACGAUGUCAACUAGUUGUUGGGGAUUCAUUUCCUUAGUAACGUAGCUAACGCGUGAAGUUGACCGCCUGGGGAGUACGGUCGCAAGAUUAAAACUCAAAGGAAUUG
rnacentral:rRNA from 1 species